rnacentral:lncRNA from 1 species
UUUAAUUUUUGUACGAUCUUCUGUUGUAGUUAUGUCAGCCGUCUACCGAAAGCCGGCGAGACACUACAUGGCAGCAAAUUUUCUAUGGGUUUCGGCGGCAAAGGAGCGAAUCAGUGCAUAAUGGCUGCCCGUUUAGGUUGCGACACUGCAAUGGUUGCGAAGGCAAGUAUAAUUUUUAUAACUCUCGUGUUAAGGGCUUUUUGAACAGCCUUACAACAUGCGAAGCAUGCUAUUAAAUUGCUAAUAUGAGGUAAUAUAUUAAAACGUGACACGAUAAUUUUAUAUAGAUUUUAUUUUGUUAUUUAAUAAUUGCUUGCAAAUGUUACAGCACAUCCUAAACCCAAGUUUAUUAUAAACCAUCUUUACAAUACUGUUUCAACUUUGCAACAUUGUUUUCGCCUUUCAAGUUUUGCAUUUAUCAAAGGGUUGCCAUGCACAUAUAGUCGCUGCAAUAACAAUGCUAUUUCACAUUUAUAUGUAAACUAUUGGCAUUGUGUUGACAGCAACGCAUUCGCGUGUUCUAGUACUCUACUUCUCUCAGACAGCUCAUUAAUUACAAAAUAUAAUUUGAUGUUUUUGUAUUUGGCCUUCAAGGAUUGUCUUUUAUUUGUUCCCCUACAUCCAAUCGAAAAGCAUCCAAUGAAAACGACUUGACACUGACUAAAAUACGAGCCUCGUUAGGUUUCAUAUAAAAUGCACAUAAACAUCCUGAUUCGGGUCAAAAAGUUGCAGUAAUGACAGUAAUCAUUAUUGUACUCGUUACAAAAAGUUACUUUGUUACUGUACAAAUGUAAUUCUAUAAGAUGCAGGAUAUUUAAUGUACUGUAUUUCCUAUAUUUAAACAGAACGUAAUCAAAUUCGAUUAUUUCCCUUGCAUUCUUAUAGAACAUUGAGUAUUCUAUUAUUACCCCAGCAGGAUGCAUGCAUAAAGUAUCCCUUGCCAUUGAUAAAAGAACACUCCCUUUGCUAACACUGUGAAUAAAUCUAUGGUAUUGUUUACUUUCAUAGCAUGUAAAUUCGGCUCUAUCUCGUGUAUUCUGGCCAUUUUUUGCUCCAAUGUAACACAAUCCCAUCAUCCUCAUGCCAUUAGCCAGAGUACUUAGAUAAUUUUUAGGAAUUUUUGCAUGUGACUUUUACAAAAUGUCUCAAAUGUUAAAAUAUUUAGUACUGGCCAACAUAUAGACAUACAAGAACUGUGUGGCACAUCUAUUUAUCAAAUGUAACCCCCAACAUCUUAGCAUAAUAGUUCAAAACUGCAAUCUUUUGGUGGUCCAAAGAGUCAACAUUGUUUGACUCAACUAUAGGCCAGCUGCUUUGACAGUGCAAUAAAACUCUGACCUUUAAAUUCUAUUAUCUUUUUUGUAUAUCUAUAUGCAAUUCGCCAUUGUAAAGAUAUGCAUAAUUACACACAUCUGCCACUUAUUCUGUGCCCUAGUAAUGUUUACUUUUCUGUCUGUAUUCCAUAAUUUUGAGAUAAUAUCAUGCAUAACUAUCUGCCAUAUGCACUUGCUCCCAGCCACAUAAAAUGACAGUUUUGACAGUGAUAUAUCUAAUUGCUCACAACUGCUCAUAAAACAAUCAAUCUUUUUGCACAAAGGAGGUAAAAUUAUAAUCCAAUAGCUGGCAAUGUUAUGCUGCAAACCUGCCAUCUUCAAUAUGUCAAGUACAGUACACAUAUUUUGAGAGUAUAUAGCUUUUUGUACAUGAAAGCCCUAGAAUUAUAGGAUUGAAGCACUAUUCCUGCUGGCUGUAGUAAUGACAUUGUGUCAUUUUCUAAAGUUGAUUUGAUUUUAAUUAAGAAUGCAGUCGGUAAUUGAUCUGUUUCACAGGGGCUAGCUUUAGUAUGUUGGGCCAUUGCCAGAAAUUAUUGCAAAAAUAGAAAUUGUCUGGGAUGGACUAGCCAUAAAUAAUACUAACAGUUUGGUAUUAAUUAACCCAUAUAACUAUUAGGCUAAUUAAGUUUAUACUGGGUAGCUCUAUCAGUUCUAAAGUAGAGGUUCUGACUUUAAACCUCUUAAUUGUCCAAAAGCAGAAAACCUGGAGAGCUAAAUAGAACCUACACUGUUUGGUAGAGCCGAACUAAAAAUUAAUUUUUGCAUGGAGAUGCCGCAUAAUGCAUAUUACAAGAGUCAAACACUGCAUCAACAACACUGAACACCCCUGUUGCUUGACGGUUAAAUAUACAAUUAAGAUGCAGUUUCUCCGGCUGAUCUUGGGUUCUGCUGCAUGUUAAUGGGAAAAUAUAUUCAGGUAAUGAUGUUGUUAGAUGAGGCCCUGUUAGCUAGCCUAAGGGUAAAUUCCGACAGCCGACAUUGCCUUGAAAUAGUGGCAUAUAGAAAAUGAAAUCUUAUGGCAACAUUGGACACAAACUUCGUUGAAAUUGUGACAGCAACAUGGGAAAGAAAGAAAACAAUAGCAAAAUUCUGAAUGCGACAUAGCAAUGUUUUCAAGUAUUUUUAAAACCUACAUUGAGCACAAUUAAGCACUCUCUCCUUGACAGUUAAAUAUAAGUAAAAUUGUCUGGUGUUAAGGCCAUGUUACACGGUGCAAUUUUUCUUGCAACUUGCAAUGCAAUUCUACUCUUGAGAGAUGAAAAAUUGCCAAAUACGAUUCUUCAUUACACUCCGCUGAUGUUUUCUCAACAUAUCGAAAAUUCUUCACUGAUUUCACUAAUUAACAUCUCUCAAGAGUAGAAUUGCAUUGCAAGUUGCAAGAAAAAUUGCACCGUGUAACAUGGCCUUUAGACAGAGUAAAAUAAUAAAGUACAGUACUCAGUAGGGUGCAAUGCAACUUAAUGGGUUGACUAGACACACAGGAAGAUAGUCUGAUUGACCCAUAAAGUGCCAAUGCUCCCUCCUUGAUGAGAAAAAUUGUCUGGCAUUAGACAGAGUAAAAUAAUAAAGUAGGAUGCACUGGGGUGCAAUGCAACUUAAUGAGUUAAUAGUUAUAUUUAACAAGGAACAUUGGCACUGAUAGGCUUGUUAAUUAACAUUUUAAUGCCCAAUCCUUUUCUCUUGACAUGUAAAAUCAUCUGGCAUUAUAAAAUAACAUUGUCAGUGGCUUAAUGGGUUAAUUAAUGGUUGAAGUCUACAUUGACUUGUGUUCUUAACUGAGUGUGCAUCUCUAAUUAUUUAGUUGGGUAAAGAUUCGUUUGGUGAGAGGUACAUGCAGAACUUUCUUGAUAACAACGUGGAUGUCAGUAAGUACUGCUU